rnacentral:tRNA from 1 species
UGAUAAUUAGUUUAAACU